CUUGUUUCUAAAUUUGUUUCCCCUGCUCUAGAAAAUAAGGCUAGCUGUGUCCAUCCUCGGGAUGAUACUGGGAAUUGCCCUGCCUUAUGUAGAAUGUCUCGCUGGGUGCCUUUCUGGCACAGUUGACAGGCACAUGAUCUAUCAAGGUGGGAGCCUUGGAGUAGGGCCUGCUGCUGUAUGCGUGCCUACAAAGUGAGCAAAUCAGAGGAGCCACCGACAGACCUUAGCCGCGUAA
rnacentral:lncRNA from 1 species